rnacentral:rRNA from 1 species
GUACACACCGCCCGUCACAUCAUGAAAGCCGAUUGUACCCGAAGUGGCUGUAGCGUCCCGCAAGGGGGCAAGGUYCCUAAGGUAUGGUUGGUGAUUGGGAUGAAGUCGUAACAAGGUWKCCGUAGGUGAACCUGCAGAAGGAUCA